UCGGACGGGUGAGUAACGCGUGAGAAUCUGCCUAGAGGUUGGGGACAACCACUGGAAACGGUGGCUAAGACCCAAUGUGCAAGUUCUGUGAAAGAUUUAUCGCCUCUAGAUGAGCUCGCGUCUGAUUAGCUAGUUGGUGAGGUAAAGGCUCACCAAGGCUCCGAUCAGUAGCUGGUCUGAGAGGAUGACCAGCCACACUGGGACUGAGACACGGCCCAGACUCCUACGGGAGGCAGCAGUGGGGAAUUUUCCGCAAUGGGCGAAAGCCUGACGGAGCAAGACCGCGUGAGGGAGGAAGGCUCUUGGGUUGUAAACCUCUUUUCUCAGGGAAGAACUCCAUGACGGUACCUGAGGAAUCAGCCUCGGCUAACUCCGUGCCAGCAGCCGCGGUAAUACGGAGGAGGCAAGCGUUAUCCGGAAUUAUUGGGCGUAAAGCGUCCGUAGGUGGUCAUGUAAGUCGGUCGUCAAAGCCAGAGGCUCAACCUCUGUCCGGCGGUGGAAACUGCAAGACUAGAGAGAGGUAGGGGUAGAGGGAAUUCCCAGUGUAGCGGUGAAAUGCGUAGAGAUUGGGAAGAACAUCGGUGGCGAAAGCGCUCUACUGGACCUUUUCUGACACUGAUGGACGAAAGCUAGGGGAGCGAACGGCAUUAUCACCCCCAGAUACUCACGCGUU
rnacentral:rRNA from 1 species